GAGAAAAUGAUGAAUUCACCAAACUGAAUUUAAAUGCAAAAAUUCUCUAUUCUUGAGAAUUUUGCAUAAAAUAACUUCCAAGGAUGUUUCUUGAGGCAUUUGUCUGAUUUUAUU